ACACCUUUAACUUAAUGGUAGAGUUGCUGUCUUCGAAACAGUCGGUAUUGGUUCGAUUCCAAUAAGGUGUC
rnacentral:tRNA from 1 species